AUUAUUUGGGGGUAAAAAGAGGGUUUAGAGCGUUGAAUGAUUGGAAGAUUAGAUGGGUUAAAUCCAAUACUUUUCUUUUAUUUUUCUCAUUUCCUUCUUUCUUUCUUCUCGUUUUCUUUUUGGAGGGAAUCUGAUCGAAAGAAGGGGAGUGAUUUGAGAGCGAGAGGACAUGGGAGUGAGCUUCUGUCAACGACGAAAUCAGAGAGAAGAGAGACCCGAAUAAGUGGUUACCAUAUCCACUGUUGGAUGGCCAAAAUUGCAAGUAAUUUUACUUGCAAGUAGAAUUUGAAGCCAUAAUUUUCUAAGCCGCUGACGAGAACAAGUUUGUGUCUUGAAACUAAAUCUCUGUGGGGGAGUAAGAAAAAGUACCAAGGAUAGUGAAGAGAAAGGAAAUGCAGGAGCAGGAGAAAGAAGGGAAAGGAGAAA